CAGAAGGAUCUCUUUCUGGAGAUCUUUCCUUGGUGGAGCUUUCCCCCUGGAGUCUUCUGAUAGGGCCAGUGUGCCCACAACACCAAAAGGAGUCUGAACUUGAGAGCAAAUACGAAACCCUCAAACAACCCACCCAGUGGAACGAUGAGAUUUUAUUCAAUCAAGGAACAGCAUGAGACAGAACAGAAUACCAAUUCCACCCAGUGCUGUCUGGUGUCACAGAAGGCCUUUUUCCUUCCAUCAUACCUGAGAGUUGGCUGUGUGUCUGCUGUCUGUUCUCAGGCCUCAUUUCACCUGGAUGGAGAUCAGCUCAUCUUUCUUCCUCCACGAAUCUGACCAAGCUCCCUUUCAAUGUUUUAUUUUCCAACGCUGAAAACAAUUGGUGGUGAAUUCCACACAGACAAUUUACACGCUCUGUGGAGGUAGCCUUUAUUUUCUGCUUGUUUUGAGCUUGCCAUCUGACAGUUGCAGGAUACUUCUUGGAAGAAAUGACAGACAAUUCUCACCUCUCUUCCAGGUGGGAGAUCCGUGGUCUAUUCACCUGUUUCUCACACAGAUUUCAUGUCAUGCCCUUCAUCAUCAUCUCUCCUGCCUGGCUUCUGUUUUCUUCCCGGUUUUGCACCAGCCUUUCUGAGAUGGGGAGAUCAGGAUUGCAGGGAACAUUCAAGAAGUGAAUA